CUUUCAGGUGCAGACAUGGGAUCCAGGAAAGGUUGGGCUCAUUCUUGAGGUAGCCAGGCUCCAAGCACCUGAAGUUCUUCUGAGUCAGAGAAGCAACUGCAUUCAUUACAGCUAAUGAAGUUUGCAAAAGGAGGUCAGAGGAGGGCUGUGCCAACAACUGUCCCCAGAGCUCAACAUCAUUUCAUCAUGCUGGUCCUUACCCACAGCUGAGAUCUGCUCAUCCGGCCUCGGCAAAAGACAAUGCAUUUGAGUUCGUGGAGAACAUUCUUGCUAUUGUAUAUUCGGUACAUAUCUACAUGGAUGCGGCCAUCGUCCAAACUCUAGUGAUUCUCACUGCUGGUUUUAAAAUCACUUGGAAGAAGACAUUUAGAAAACAUCAAAGUAAAUCACCUCCCGACUUGAGAUGCAGUUGAGGCAAUCACACCUCCCCAAGGAGUAAGCUGCUCCAGGAAUCAUCUGCCAUCAAAAAAGGGUCUGUUACUGAGCUCAGCUUUGGAGAUGGUGUGAGAGAUACAACAAACAACCAUUUGCUGACACGGAGGGCACCAAAGUGGUUUUUGAUGAUAUGAGGUGAGCUGCAAGGUAGAGGCGAUGUGGAACCUGAUAAAACAUGCAUCCGGUCAUGGGCAGACAGCAGCCAAGCAGUCACAUCCUCAAAAAAUAAUCCAUUUCCUGACCUGAGUUGGGACUGACUUUCUUUUCAAAAG
rnacentral:lncRNA from 1 species